UUGUAUCCUAUGUGAAAGUUUAGAAGAGGAGUCCAAUGUAGAUUUGUUCUGAGUCCAUAUGUGAGCUGCAGGCCCAAUGUUAAUUUCCCUUUUUUUCUUUUAUCUGUGAAAGUCACGUAGGUACAAAAGUACCAUGUGUGGGGGCCCAACUUCUUAACAAAUCUAUAGGUUCUUCACCAACACGUUUAUGGGUGCAGUUCAGCGGUCCUUUGUGAUGACCAGAGAUGCGACUGUGUUCUAAUCGUCGUAGGUGUUGGCGAUUUAUUGGAGACGACCGGCACUGUGUAGAUCCUGUGAGUGGUUAUUGGCGGCAAUUGAGAGCACGGAGGCCAUCGACAACUACUGGCGGUGAUGGAAAGAGCCGUUGUCGGAGCGGGAUGAGGUCGACUGGAGGUGCUUUGGUUUCCGUUGCUGGCGGCGCUGAUUAGCUAGGUCGACAGGCGAUGACGCGGCGGUGAUGGCGGCGAUACAAGCGACUAGCAAUGGUUUGGUGAGAUCCGAAGGAAUCCGUCUUCGGUGGGCGGUGUUGGUUCUAGUCGUCGGAAUCGGAAGCGACUAUUGGUCAUUUGGAUCUAAUUUCAGUUGGUGAUGAUGGCGCUGUUUCGAGGGUUCUUUGGCAGCAUCGGAGGUUCACAGAUGGAUGUCGGAGUUGGAGAUGAAGGCUAACGUCAGGGAUUCUUUCGGUUGGCUGGGCGUGACCGAUGAUGGCGUCAGGUAUCGCUUCCGAUGAGAGCUAGUCCGGCCAGAAGAGAUGGCAGUGGUAGCUGAUUUUCUUGAGGAAAUAGAUGGUCCACUUGAGGUGAUAGGGAUGAAGACUGUCGUCGGGGGCACCUCAACGGGAUUAGAAGCUACCGGUAGGUGGAGAUGAUGAUUGCAGGCAGCGAUUAAUCAACACAGCUGGCUUUGGUUGAUGGGUUUGUGAUCUGCUGGAUAGGAAACGCAGGAGGAGAUCAACAGAUGGUGAUGGAAUAGCAGGUUGUUGGAGACGACCUGAGUUCAUCGAUUGACGGUGGUCUAGUUCCAGAAGAAGCUCGGGUUUCGGGAAGUCUUUGCUGCUUGGGAAAAUGUGCUGACCCGGUGGGUCCCGACUAUUUUAUUUUUUUCUGUACAUAAGGAAUUGGACUAGAUGGGGGUCUUUUUUUCUGACUUCUAUAGACAGCUCUGUCUCUUGUCUUGUCAUUAGUCUGAUGCACGGUGCACCUUUACCUCUUUUUUUGUUAGAUAGGCACGACAUAUACCCUUUUUGAUGUAUUUGAGUGAUUUGCGUGAGCUGUAAAUGUGAUUUUUUCUGUAUACACACUUUUUUUAUUUUA